CGAAAUAAUAAGGGCUAUUACGAAACUAGUAUGUUUUGUGUCAAUAAAAUUGUAAAGUGGUAAAUAGUAAUGAAAUGUUAUACGCUUAUUAAGAUAUCUAGUUGCUAGCGGGUGUUGAUAUAUUUGAAUAUUAUUAAAGAUUAGUUUAAUAAUAAGACAGUGAACGUUGUUUGUUGGAUGGGUCGAGGUUUUAAUAGUGAGCGAGACAGGUGUGUUUUUACUAUAAGUUCUGAAUUUAUUAAUUAACAAUAUUACUGUGUAACAAACUGGUAAAAUAAGGUGUGAAAAUAUUUGUUUUAAUAAUGAUUAUAUUAGUAAGAGUAGGAUAACUAGGAAUUAAUUGAAUAGAUGUCUAGGAGGGCGAAAGAAGGAGUAAAUAAAUAACUUGGCAAAAGUAUUUUUAACUGUUUAACAAAAACAUUUCUCUUUGUAAUAAAGGGUAUGGCCUGCCCGGUGGUUUAAACGGCUGCGGUAUUUUGACCGUACAAAGGUAGCAAAAUAAUUUGUUUUUUAAUUGGAGACUGGAAUGAAGGGUUUAAUAUAAAAUACACUGUUUUAUUUAUUGUUUUAUAAAUUUAUUAUCAAGUGAGAAGGCUUGAAUUUUUAAAAGUGACAAGAAGACCCUAGGAGUUUGAUAUUUUUAUAUACUAGUAGGGGGAUUAUACUGGUGGUGAUAAUAUUUUACUGGGGCGGUAGCUAUAAUAACAAUUGUAAAUAUUACUAUAAUUGUAGAAUUAUAUAUUUAAGUAUCUUGGCAGGAAUAUAAAAUAAAUUACCUUAGGGAUAACAGCAUAAUCUUUUUAGAGAGAUCAUAUUGACGAAAAGGUUUGUGACCUCGAUGUUGGAUUUAGAUAUCAUUAGGGCGUAGGGGCUUUAUCAUGAAAGUUUGUUCAACCAUUAAA
rnacentral:rRNA from 1 species